rnacentral:rRNA from 1 species
UAACGCGUGAGCAACCUGCCUUUAUCAGGGGGAUAACGCAUCGAAAGAUGUGCUAAUACCGCGUAAGACCACAGCUUCACAUGGAGCAGGGGUCAAAGGAGCAAUCCGGAUAAAGAUGGGCUCGCGUCCGAUUAGCUAGUUGGUGAGACAACAGCCCACCAAGGCGACGAUCGGUAGCCGACCUGAGAGGGUGAUCGGCCACAUUGGAACUGAGAGACGGUCCAGACUCCUACGGGAGGCAGCAGUGGGGAAUAUUGGGCAAUGGGCGAAAGCCUGACCCAGCAACGCCGCGUGAGGGAAGAAGGGUUUCGGCUCGUAAACUCUGUCCUAUGGGACGAAGGAAGUGACGGUACCAUAGGAGGAAGCCCCGGCUAACUACGUGCCAGCAGCCGCGGUAAUACGUAGGGGGCGAGCGUUGUCCGGAAUGAUUGGGCGUAAAGGGCGCGUAGGCGGCCUGCUAAGUCUGGAGUGAAAGUCCUGCUUUCAAGGUGGGAAUUGCUUUGGAUACUGGUGGGCUGGAGUGCAGGAGAGGAAAGCGGAAUUACCGGUGUAGCGGUGAAAUGCGUAGAGAUCGGUAGGAACACCAGUGGCGAAGGCGGCUUUCUGGACUGAAACUGACACUGAGGCGCGAAAGUGUGGGGAGCAAACAGGAUUAGAUACCCUGGUAGUCCACGCGGUAAACGAUGAAUGCUAGGUGU